UAAGGACAAGCCGAAAACCUUGUAGAGUAGGCA
rnacentral:ncRNA from 1 species